GCGGGUAUAGCACAAUGGUAGUGCAGCAGCCUUCCAAGCUGAGGAUGCCGGUUCGAUCCCGGCUACCCGCUCUA
rnacentral:tRNA from 1 species